rnacentral:rRNA from 1 species
GAUGAACGCUGGCGGCGUGCUUAACACAUGCAAGUCGAACGGAAAGGCUCCUGCUUUCAGGGGUACUCGAGUGGCGAACGGGUGAGUAACACGUGGGUGAUCUGCCCUGCACUUCGGGAUAAGCCUGGGAAACUGGGUCUAAUACCGGAUAGGACGAUGGUUUGGAUGCCAUUGUGGAAAGUUUUUCGGUGUGGGAUGAGCUCGCGGCCUAUCAGCUUGUUGGUGGGGUAAUGGCCUACCAAGGCGUCGACGGGUAGCCGGCCUGAGAGGGUGUACGGCCACAUUGGGACUGAGAUACGGCCCAGACUCCUACGGGAGGCAGAAGUGGGGAAUAUUGCACAAUGGGCGCAAGCCUGAUGCAGCGACGCCGCGUGGGGGAUGACGGCCUUCGGGUUGUAAACUCCUUUCGCUAGGAACGAAGCGCAAGUGACGGUACCUGGAGAAGAAGCACCGGCUAACUACGUG